ensembl:lncRNA PRR7-AS1 PRR7 antisense RNA 1
GCACGUGCCUCGGCCGUGAGGAGGAGGAGGGAUGCAAGCUUCGCUCCUCUACCCUGUGCUGAUCACACUGGGUCCCGCUGUUCCCACGUCUGCCUCCCUACCAGACUGAGCUCCAAGCUGCCAGGGGCCUCGUCUCCAUCUGGGUCCCAGUUCCCACCAUAGAGCUGGGCAUGGAGGACAGCUCAGGGAAGCUUCUUGGGAAAUGAAUUCUGGGAGUUCCCUCUGCCAAGGACCCACUGUGUUAAGAGCUUUAAGGUAUAGACCAAGAGAAAUGGCGGCAUCUGCACACACAAAAACUUGUACAGGAAUGUUCACAGCAGCAAUAACAGCCAAAAAGUGGGAACAAUCUUAAUGUCUACCAACUGACGAACAGGUAUAGACCAAGAGGUAUGGAGGCCAAGGCGAGCAGAUUACUUGAGGUCAGGAGUUCGAGACCAGCCUGGCCAGCGGUUCCAGUGAGGCCCAUGUGAGGCAGUCACUCAGGGCAGUAGCCCCCUCACUGGCCUCCCCACUUCCACUCACACCCACUAUGGCCCACUCCCCACACCUCACAUUCCUGCCCAGGGUCCCCCAGCGGUCCCAUCUUGCUGAGAACCUGCCGGCACUCCUCUUUGCCUGCACGGGCUCACUCAGCCACACAGGUGUCCUCGCGGCUGCUCCACCUCACAGGGCUGGCCCCUGCCUCAGGACUGCAAUACCCGGCUGUUUCUUCUGCCUGGAAUGCUCACACCCCAAACCUUG